CCUACGGGAGGCAGCAGUGGGGAAUAUUGGACAAUGGGGGGAACCCUGAUCCAGCCAUGCCGCGUGUGUGAAGAAGGCCCUCGGGUUGUAAAGCACUUUCAGUGAGGAAGAACGCCUGGUGGUUAAUACCCAUCAGGAAAGACAUCACUCACAGAAGAAGCACCGGCUAACUCCGUGCCAGCAGCCGCGGUAAUACGGAGGGUGCGAGCGUUAAUCGGAAUUACUGUGCGUAAAGCGCGCGUAGGUGGCUUGAUAAGCCGGUUGUGAAAGCCCCGGGCUCAACCUGGGAACGGCAUCCGGAACUGUCAAGCUAGAGUGCAGUAGAGGAAGGUAGAAUUCCCGGUGUAGCGGUGAAAUGCGUAGAGAUCGGGAGGAAUACCAGUGGCGAAGGCGGCCUUCUGGACUGACACUGACACUGAGGUGCGAAAGCGUGGGUAGCAAACAGGAUUAGAUACCCCUGUAGUC
rnacentral:rRNA from 1 species